rnacentral:lncRNA from 1 species
UGGUUACAAAAGUGGUUACAAUAAAAUAUAUAGAAAAGGUGGAUCUUUUUUUCACAAAUUAGGAUUAUAAAACCGAAAUGAUUUUGUUUAUUUUUUAUCAACAAUAAACGAAACGAAUGUAGUUUCCAAACAACUUGUUCGUUUAUAUUGUUUGGUUGCGUUCGAAGGUGCUUAUUCAAUUUGAGUUUUACAAAGUGUACAUAUCUACAUGAUUUACCACGCAUGGUAUGUAGGUAUAUUAUGACAACAAAAGUACUUAAAUCAAAUCCCAACCUGUACUUCAAAAUUAAUACUGCUGUCAUUUCAAUAUCGGUAAAGAUAAAACUAUACUGAUGACAGUAUUGAAAUUGUAUACAGUAUUAAUUUAUAAUAGUUGCGUAAC